AUCCACGGCCAUGCUACCCUGAACAAGCCCUAUCCCAUCUGAUCUUGGAAGCUAAGCAGAUUCGAGCCUGGUUAGUACUUGGAUGGGAGACCACCUCGGAAGACUAGGUGCUGUAGGCA
rnacentral:rRNA from 1 species